rnacentral:rRNA from 1 species
ACGAACGCUGGCGGCGUGCCUAAUACAUGCAAGUCGAACGCUUCUUUUUCCACCGGAGCUUGCUCCACCGGAAAAAGAGGAGUGGCGAACGGGUGAGUAACACGUGGGUAACCUGCCCAUCAGAAGGGGAUAACACUUGGAAACAGGUGCUAAUACCGUAUAACAAUCGAAACCGCAUGGUUUUGAUUUGAAAGGCGCUUUCGGGUGUCGCUGAUGGAUGGACCCGCGGUGCAUUAGCUAGUUGGUGAGGUAACGGCUCACCAAGGCGACGAUGCAUAGCCGACCUGAGAGGGUGAUCGGCCACAUUGGGACUGAGACACGGCCCAAACUCCUACGGGAGGCAGCAGUAGGGAAUCUUCGGCAAUGGACGAAAGUCUGACCGAGCAACGCCGCGUGAGUGAAGAAGGUUUUCGGAUCGUAAAACUCUGUUGUUAGAGAAGAACAAGGAUGAGAGUAACUGUUCAUCCCUUGACGGUAUCUAACCAGAAAGCCACGGCUAACUACGUGCCAGCAGCCGCGGUAAUACGUAGGUGGCAAGCGUUGUCCGGAUUUAUUGGGCGUAAAGCGAGCGCAGGCGGUUUCUUAAGUCUGAUGUGAAAGCCCCCGGCUCAACCGGGGAGGGUCAUUGGAAACUGGGAGACUUGAGUGCAGAAGAGGAGAGUGGAAUUCCAUGUGUAGCGGUGAAAUGCGUAGAUAUAUGGAGGAACACCAGUGGCGAAGGCGGCUCUCUGGUCUAUAACUGACGCUGAGGCUCGAAAGCGUGGGGAGCAAACAGGAUUAGAUACCCUGGUAGUCCACGCCGUAAACGAUGAGUGCUAAGUGUUGGAGGGUUUCCGCCCUUCAGUGCUGCAGCUAACGCAUUAAGCACUCCGCCUGGGGAGUACGACCGCAAGGUUGAAACUCAAAGGAAUUGACGGGGGCCCGCACAAGCGGUGGAGCAUGUGGUUUAAUUCGAAGCAACGCGAAGAACCUUACCAGGUCUUGACAUCCUUUGACCACUCUAGAGAUAGAGCUUCCCCUUCGGGGGCAAAGUGACAGGUGGUGCAUGGUUGUCGUCAGCUCGUGUCGUGAGAUGUUGGGUUAAGUCCCGCAACGAGCGCAACCCUUAUUGUUAGUUGCCAUCAUUUAGUUGGGCACUCUAGCAAGACUGCCGGUGACAAACCGGAGGAAGGUGGGGAUGACGUCAAAUCAUCAUGCCCCUUAUGACCUGGGCUACACACGUGCUACAAUGGGAAGUACAACGAGUCGCAAAGUCGCGAGGCUAAGCUAAUCUCUUAAAGCUUCUCUCAGUUCGGAUUGUAGGCUGCAACUCGCCUACAUGAAGCCGGAAUCGCUAGUAAUCGCGGAUCAGCACGCCGCGGUGAAUACGUUCCCGGGCCUUGUACACACCGCCCGUCACACCACGAGAGUUUGUAACACCCGAAGUCGGUGAGGUAACCUUUUGGAGCCAGCCGCCUAAGGUGGGAUAGAUGAUUGGGGUG